CCAGGCUGUCAGCGUAGGCUACUUAAGAAAUUGAAAUAAAACUUUGCUUGGUGCAGGACAAGUACUGCCUCGAUAUUAGAGCAAGUGGAACUUUGAACCAUAACCUCUUCAUAUUCUGAAACAAUAAUGCUGCUUCUAGGCAACCACAAAGCAAACAACCUCCGAGGAGGGGAAUGGGGACAAAACCUGGAUUUGAAGUUACACAAGACAUUCAAUUCGGCUGAAUAAGGAAGCUGAAGGACAAAUCCUGAAGUUACGCUACAACAAGACAUUUGAUUCGGCUGAAUAAGGAAGUCUCCCUUCAGUUGUUUUUAUCGUUUCGCAGCGGUGCAGCAGCUACGAUAUGGUGAGCCGGGAAGACAACGAGACCAACAGGCUUCAUGAGGCACUACACCUGUUCAAGAUCAUCUGGAACUACAGGUGGCUGUUAGGCAGGCCCGUCUUCCUCUUCCUGAACAAACAGGACCUUCUAGCUGAGAAGGUUUUGGCUGGGAAAUCUAAAAUUGAGGACUAUUUCCCAGAGUUUGCGCACUAUACUACACCUCAAACAUCAGAACCAGGGGAGGAUCUUCGUGUCUCUAGGGCAAAACACUUCAUAGUGGAGGAGUUUCUGAAGAUCACCAGAGCCAGUGGAGGUGAAAGGAUCUGUUUGUUCCAUUUCACAUGUGCAGUUGACCUGGAAAGCCUCCGGCGCACAGUCUUCAGAGAGUGUGAAUAUUCGUUGUUGGCAUAAAGACUGUGAAGAAUGUAUACUAUAUCAAAGCAGAGACUUCUAUUUACAAGACUCGAGAGCACACAAAAUACGUAUUUUCAAUGUCUUUUCAACGUCUUUUCCUCAUGAGUGCAACAUUUGUCUUGCCAAUGUUUGUAUGAGCCCCUCUUAAAGGAUGUAUAGUCCUAGGCCUAUGUUUCUAUUUUUAUAAUUAGCUAAAUCCUUUUUCUUUUAGUUUCAAACCAUUUUGAAAUGUUGAUCCCGAUGGCACACAUUGGCCCAUUUUUUUUAUUUAUAGAAAGACCCAUAUACAGUAAGGGGCUUGGGGAACCACAGUAGCUUACCAAGCAAGAGGGUUCGAGGCACUCUUUGACUGGAGCCAGUGACGACAUUUUGAAACUUCCGGAUCUGGUGUUGUAUACCUUUUUGUUUACAAAUGCUAGCUAGCUACAUACAUACAUACAUACAUACAUACAUACAUACAUGUCUGGCUGGUCUGGUGUUCUAUGCUUUACGAUGCAAUUUUUUCGCGGCAGAAGCAAACAUGUCUCUCUAUGAAUUGCAAUUGUUAGAACUUGGAACAGCAAGACCUUGAAUUGCUCUUACUACUCAGGAGGAGAAGAAGGGGGGAAAAAAACGACAGAGAAAAUGGCCAGUUCGUCCACUGAAAACUACAAGACGGGACGAUGGAGAAGUCAUGUAACUUGUCCAACCAAUGCGAAGCAUUGUCGAGGAAAGACAUUUUCAAUACUUUUGGAUGUCGGUUGCCAGAUUGGACGACUUGUUUCAGCGGCUUGCCCCUCACCUCUCAUACGAGAGAACUCACAGCUUUCCCAUAAGUGCUGCAGAAAGGCUGUCUGUGAUCCUUCCUUUUUUUGGUGAGUGGCAGCACACAGCAAAGUAUCGCUGCGAAUUACAAGCUAGGAAUCUCGACAGUUUGUACCAUCUUGACAGAAAUGUGCCAGGCUAUCUGGCAUGUCCUGAAGGAGGAUUUUGGGGACUUCUUGCCAGAGAGUUUGGGGAUGGUUUGAUUCAUCAGUUUUCGUGCAGGAGCUGUCGACUGAAAAAGUAUUCCCCCUAUUCACGUCCGAGCUCCGGCAAGCUCGGGCAGCGAGUACUACAACUUCACAGGAUUUUUCUCAAUGGUCCUGAUGGUAGUCUGCUAUGAAAGGUACCGCUUCACCAUGAUCGACGUGUCGCAAUCGAUAUGGUCGCAAUCUUCUAACGAAGCAAGUUUGGCUCACCUCACCAAGGCCAGAGUGCUUGUCGGUGACAUGAAACAACGAUACAAAUGUAACAGCACAACAAAACAGAUAAACAAUUUUCUUUGGCCGGUGCCUUUUCAUUUUAAACACCAGUGGUGCAACUAGUGCUUUCUAUCUGCACUGAACCAAAACAGUGGCGUGAGGCACUGAACCAAAACAGUGGCGUGAGGCACUGAACCAAAACAGUGGCGUGAGGCACUGAACCAAAACAGUGGCGUGAGGCACUGAACCAACACAGUGGCGUGAGGCACUGAACCAACACAGUGGCGUGAGGCACUGAACCAAAACAGUGGCGUGAGGCACUGAACCAAAACAGUGGCGUGAGGCACUGAACCAACACAGUGGCGUGAGGCACUGAACCAACACAGUGGCGUGAGGGACUGAACCAAAACAGUGGCGUGAGGGACUGAACCAACACAGUGGCGUGAGGCACUGAACCAACACAGUGGCGUGAGGCACUGAACCAACACAGUGGCGUGAGGCACUGAACCAAAACAGUGGCGUGAGGCACUGAACCAACACAGUGGCGUGAGGGACUGAACCAACACAGUGGCGUGAGGGACUGAACCAACACAGUGGCGUGAGGCACUGAACCAACACAGUGGCGUGAGGGACUGAACCAACACAGUGGCGUGAGGCACUGAACCAACACAGUGGCGUGAGGGACUGAACCAACACAGUGGCGUGAGGGACUGAACCAACACAGUGGCGUGAGGGACUGAACCAACACAGUGGCGUGAGGGACUGAACCAACACAGUGGCGUGAGGGACUGAACCAGCACAGUGGCGUGAGGGACUGAACCAACACAGUGGCGUGAGGGACUGAACCAAAACAGUGGCGUGAGGCACUGAACCAACACAGUGGCGUGAGGGACUGAACCAGCACAGUGGCGUGAGGGACUGAACCAAAACAGUGGCGUGAGGGACUGAACCAACACAGUGGCGUGAGGGACUGAACCAAAACAGUGGCGUGAGGGACUGAACCAACACAGUGGCGUGAGGGACUGAACCAAAACAGUGGCGUGAGGGACUGAACCA